UACGAAGGGGGCUAGCGUUGUUCGGAAUUACUGGGCGUAAAGCGCGCGCAGGCGGUCUUCCAAGUCAGUGGUGAAAGCCCGGAGCUCAACUCCGGAACUGCCAUUGAAACUGUAAGACUUGAGGAUGAGAGAGGUGAGUGGAAUUCCCAGUGUAGAGGUGAAAUUCGUAGAUAUUGGGAAGAACACCAGUGGCGAAGGCGGCUACCUGGUCCGGAUCUGACGCUGAGGCGCGAAAAGCGUGGGGAGCAAACAGG
rnacentral:rRNA from 1 species